AUUGAACGCUGGCGGCAGGCCUAACACAUGCAAGUCGAGCGGAUGAAGGGAGCUUGCUCCUGGAUUCAGCGGCGGACGGGUGAGUAAUGCCUAGGAAUCUGCCCGGUAGUGGGGGAUAACGUCCGGAAACGGGCGCUAAUACCGCAUACGUCCUGAGGGAGAAAGUGGGGGAUCGUCGGACCUCACGCUAUCAGAUGAGCCUAGGUCGGAUUAGCUAGUUGGUGGGGUAAAGGCCUACCAAGGCGACGAUCCGUAACUGGUCUGAGAGGAUGAUCAGUCACACUGGAACUGAGACACGGUCCAGACUCCUACGGGAGGCAGCAGUGGGGAAUAUUGGACAAUGGGCGAAAGCCUGAUCCAGCCAUGCCGCGUGUGUGAAGAAGGUCUUCGGAUUGUAAAGCACUUUAAGUUGGGAGGAAGGGCAGUAAGUUAAUACCUUGCUGUUUUGACGUUACCAACAGAAUAAGCACCGGCUAACUUCGUG
rnacentral:rRNA from 1 species